UACGUAGGUGGCAAGCGUUAUCCGGAUUUAUUGGGCGUAAAGGGAACGUAGGCGGUCUUUUAAGUCUGAUGUGAAAGCCUUCGGCUUAACCGGAGUAGUGCAUUGGAAACUGGGAGACUUGAGUGCAGAAGAGGAGAGUGGAACUCCAUGUGUAGCGGUGAAAUGCGUAGAUAUAUGGAAGAACACCAGUGGCGAAAGCGGCUCUCUGGUCUGUAACUGACGCUGAGGUUCGAAAGCGUGGGUAGCAAACAGG
rnacentral:rRNA from 1 species